rnacentral:rRNA from 1 species
CCGGUGUGUGAAGAAGGCUUAGGGUUGUAAAGCACUUUCAAUUGGAAGGAAAACCUCAGGUUAAUACCCCUGAGCUUGACAUUACCUUUAAAAGAAGCACCGGCUAACUCCGUGCCAGCAGCCGCGGUAAUAGGAGGGUGCAAGCGUUAAUCGGAAUUCUGGGCGUAAAGCGUGCGUAGGCGGCUUUGUAAGCCAGAUGUGAAAGCCCUGGGCUUAACCUGGGAACUGCAUUUGGAACUGCAAAGCUAGAGUAUGGAAGAGGAGAGUGGAAUUUCAGGUGUAGCGGUGAAAUGCGUAGAGAUCUGAAGGAACAUCAGUGGCGAAGGCGACUCUCUGGUCUAAAACUGACGCUGAGGUACGAAAGUGUGGGUAGCAAACAGGAUUAGAUACCCUGGUAGUCCACGCCGUAAACGAUGUCAACUAGCCGUUGGCUCUCUAUGAGAGUUAGUGGCGCAGCUAACGCAUUAAGUAGACCGCCUGAGGAGUACGGCCGCAAGGUUAAAACUCAAAUGAAUUGACGGGGGCCCGCACAAGCGGUGGAGCACGUGGUUUAAUUCGAUGCA